rnacentral:lncRNA from 1 species
UCUCUUACCCAUCACCGCUCGGCAAUCACCAGCAUUCGCGAUGUAUAAUUUUCUGCAACAAUCAGGUGGAUUAUAAUGUAUGUAUGAACAAAUUUAGAAUUAAUUAACUAAUGCAUGUAUGUGUUUGACCUUCCAAAAAUAAGGGCGGUUAAAACUGUGGUGCCAGAAGAGUUAUCAACUGAUUGUGUAUCAGCAAAGGUAGUGUCGGCUGUCAAAAAUGCGCUUAUCAGAGCCUUGGAAAUAGAAGUGUGUAAAUUUUGGUCAUCCAUUAUGAACUUUAGAAUAUUCUUCC